GUCUGACCUUGUCUGGCUGACCAGGCGCAGUGCUAGGGAGAUCCUCUGUGUUUUUGAGUUUCCUCAGGAGGUCUUACUUUGAGGAAGCUAUCUACUGCUACAAAAACUCAGAUGUUGUGGAUAAAAAAGUCUACAGGAGGGGACAUUUAUGAGAAGUGUCUCAGACAGUAUCAGUGUUGCUACAGAGAAGCCUGUGUUGAGCUAAAAGUAAUGAAUCCUAAGAGGAGCCAACCCACAGGACCCAUCAGCAUCUUGUGGGCUUAAGAUCUUCACCCUAGCUGUCUGGAACUGAGUCUCCCACUAGCAGCCUUCAGAUGAAGAUGUAGAACUCUCAGCUCUGCCUGCACCAUGCCUGUCUGGAUGCUGCCAUGCUCUUGCCUUGAUAAUGAACUGAACCUCAGAACCUGUAAGCCAGCCCCAAUU
rnacentral:lncRNA from 1 species